AAGCCCACAUAAUUUAACAGAAAGUUGAGGAAUCAGAGGGAGGAAAAAAGAAAAUGGCUGCUGCUACUAACUGCAUCUCCCUGUCUUCAUUACUGUUCACUUACCCACAUGGUAAAGAAGUGUUCUUGAUAAGAAAGAAAUCAACUUGCAAAUUUAUGGUUUCAAAGAAUUGCUACAAGAUGGGUAGGAUCAAUUGUAAGCUAACAGAUAGUGGAGUUGAAGAAAAUCCCACAAGAAAACACUUCUCUUUGAGCUCAAACAACAGAAUGGACGAUUACAAUAUAGCCAUGAAAAGGAUGAUGAGAAACCCGUAUGAAUAUCAUCAUGAUCUUGGUAUGAACUACACACUGAUAACCAACAAUUUGAUUGUGGGCUCCCAGCCUCAAAAAUCUGAAGAUAUAGAUCAUCUGAAACAUGAAGAGAAUGUAGCAUACAUUCUAAAUCUGCAGCAGGAUUCUGACAUUGAAUAUUGGGGGAUUGACUUGCAGUCUAUAAGAGAAAGAUGUCAAGAACUUGGCAUCCGUCACAUGAGAAGGCCUGCGAAAGAUUUUGAUCCAGAUUCAUUGAGAAGUAUAUUACCUAAGGCUGUUUCUUCAUUGGAAUGGGCCAUUUCCGAGGGGAAAGGCAGAGUUUAUGUGCAUUGCACAGCCGGACUGGGAAGGGCUCCUGCCGUUACAAUUGCUUACAUGUUCUGGUUCUGCGACAUGAAUCUGAACGCUGCAUAUGAUGAACUAACUUCACAACGACCUUGUGGACCUAACAAAAGAUCGAUCCGAGGAGCUACCUAUGAUCUUGCCAAGAAUGAUCCAUGGAAAGAACCAUUCGAGAAUCUUCCAGAACAUGCUUUUGAAGAUAUAGCAGAUUGGGAGAGGAGCUUGAUUCAGGAUCGUGUUCGUGCCCUCCGGGGAACUUGAAACCUUCAGUCUAGCAACUUUUCAACCCUGCUUGUAGACCAUUUGAACCCUCUCAAGACUUUUGUAUGAGCUUCAAUAUACCACAGCCAGCAAAAUCCAUUGACGAAAUUACAAUGAAAAGCAAUAAAAUCAAGCCUGCAGGUUUACUUAUACCAGCUUCUCUAAGAUUGUUGAUGGAGAUCACAAGCUACAAACAUGAGAAGGCAGUUAAUAAGAAGCAACAAUGUAGAAUGCAAGGCCUGUGCAAUGGGAACAGCUUGGGAAGCAAUAUCAUGGUGUUCCACUCAAAGUCAGGAACCUAUUAUAAAAGAAAUCUUUCUUAUUACAGAAAAUGUUGUUUACCUUCUAGUUUUGGCCGGUUAGCACCGAGAACGAGCUUUCCACUGUUACAUUACGUUAGAAUUUAUAUACCAUCGAGAUAACAUUUAGUUCAAUAACCAAAUAUAUAUUGUAGAUGUUACAGAACAGAAAAUAAAAUAAAAAAUUCAGUUUCUCUAGUUA